UAGGGAAUCUUCGGCAAUGGGGGGAACCCUGACCGAGCAACGCCGCGUGAGUGAAGAAGGUUUGCGGAGCGUAAAGCUCGGUUGUGAAGGAAGAACGAGGGUGAGAAUGGAAAGUUCAUGCUGUGACGGUACCUAACCAGAAAGCCACGGCUAACUACGUGCCAGCAGCCGCGGUAAUACGUAGGUGGCAAGCGUUGUCCGGAAUUAUUGGGCGUAAAGCGCGCGGAGGUGGUUUAGAAAGUCUGAUGUGAAAGCCCACGGCUCAAACGUGGAGGGUCAUUGGAAACUAAUAAACUUGAGUGCAGGAGAGAAAAGUGGAAUUCCUAGUGUAGCGGUGAAAUGCGUAGAGAUUAGGAGGGACACCGAUGGGGACAGCGGCGUUUUGGCCUGCAACUGACACUGAGGCGCGAAAGCGUGGGGAGCAAACAGG
rnacentral:rRNA from 1 species